rnacentral:rRNA from 1 species
UGCCAGCCGCCGCGGUAAUACGGAGGGUCCGAGCGUUAAUCGGAAUUACUGGGCGUAAAGCGUACGCAGGCGGUUUGUUAAGCGAGAUGUGAAAGCCCCGGGCUCAACCUGGGAACUGCAUUUCGAACUGGCAAACUAGAGUUUUGUAGAGGGUGGUAGAAUUUCAGGUGUAGCGGUGAAAUGCGUAGAGAUCUGAAGGAAUACCAGUGGCGAAGGCGGCCACCUGGACAAAAACUGACGCUCAUGUACGAAAGCCAGGGGAGCGAAAGGGAUUAGAUA